rnacentral:rRNA from 1 species
UACGAAGGGGGCUAGCGUUGCUCGGAAUCACUGGGCGUAAAGCGCACGUAGGCGGAUCUUUAAGUCAGGGGUGAAAUCCCAAGGCUCAACCUUGGAACUGCCUUUGAUACUGGGGAUCUCGAGUCCGGAAGAGGUUGGUGGAACUGCGAGUGUAGAGGUGAAAUUCGUAGAUAUUCGCAAGAACACCAGUCGGCGAAGGCGGCCAACUGGUCCGGUACUGACGCUGAGGUGCGAAAGCGAUGGGGGAGCAA